rnacentral:rRNA from 1 species
CCUACGGGAGGCAGCAGUGGGGAAUAUUGGACAAUGGGGGGAACCCUGAUCCAGCCAUGCCGCGUGUGUGAAGAAGGCCCUCGGGUUGUAAAGCACUUUCAGUGAGGAAGAACGCCUGGUGGUUAAUACCCAUCAGGAAAGACAUCACUCACAGAAGAAGCACCGGCUAACUCCGUGCCAGCAGCCGCGGUAAUACGGAGGGUGCGAGCGUUAAUCGGAAUUACUGGGCGUAAAGCGCGCGUAGGUGGCUUGAUAAGCCGGUUGUGAAAGCCCCGGGCUCAACCUGGGAACGGCAUCCGGAACUGUCAAGCUAGAGUGCAGGAGAGGAAGGUAGAAUUCCCGGUGUAGCGGUGAAAGGCGUAGAGAUCGGGAGGAAUACCAGUGGCGAAGGCGGCCUUCUGGACUGACACUGACACUGAGGUGCGAAAGCGUGGGUAGCAAACAGGAUUAGAUACCCCUGUAGUC